rnacentral:rRNA from 1 species
GGCUCAGAACGAACGCUGGCGGCGCGCCUAAUACAUGCAAGUCGAACGAGAAUGUGUAGCAAUACACAUGUACAGUGGCGAACGGGUGAGGAAUACAUAGGUAACCUACCCUCGAGUGGGGGAUAACUAGCCGAAAGGUUAGCUAAUACCGCGUACGCUCCCUGGACUGCGGUUCAGGGAGGAAAGCGAUACCGUGGGUAUCGCGCUCUUGGAUGGGCUUAUGUCCUAUCAGCUUGUUGGUGAGGUAACGGCUCACCAAGGCUUCGACGGGUAGCUGGUCUGAGAGGACGAUCAGCCACACUGGCACUGCGACACGGGCCAGACUCCUACGGGAGGCAGCAGUAAGGAAUAUUGCGCAAUGGGCGAAAGCCUGACGCAGCGACGCCGCGUGGGGGAUGAAGGUCUUCGGAUUGUAAACCCCUUUCGGGAGGGAAGAUGGAACGGGUAACCGUUCGGACGGUACCUCCAGAAGAAGCCACGGCUAACUUCGUGCCAGCAGCCGCGGUAAUACGAAGGUGGCAAGCGUUGUUCGGAUUUACUGGGCGUACAGGGAGCGUAGGCGGUUUGGUAAGCCCUCUGUGAAAUCUCCAGGCUUAACCUGGAACAGUCGGAGGGGACUGCUGAGCUAGAGGAUGGGAGAGGAGCGCGGAAUUCCCGGUGUAGCGGUGAAAUGCGUAGAGAUCGGGAGGAAGGCCGGUGGCGAAGGCGGCGCUCUGGAACAUUUCUGACGCUGAGGCUCGAAAGCGUGGGGAGCAAACAGGAUUAGAUACCCUGGUAGUCCACGCCUUAAACGAUGGAUACUAAGUGUCGGCGGGUUACCGCCGGUGCCGCAGCUAACGCAGUAAGUAUCCCGCCUGGGGAGUAC